rnacentral:rRNA from 1 species
CUCUGGUCCUCACAAAGGAUCGGUAAUUGGAAUGAGGACGAUUUAAAAUAACUACCGAGUAGCAAUUACAGGGCAAGUCUGGUGCCAGCAGCCGCGGUAAUUCCAGCUGUAAUAGCGUAUUUUAAAGUUGUUGCAGUUAAAACGCUCGUAGUUGGACUUUAGGAUGCGAUGGGUUCGGUCCGCGUUAAGCGAGUACUAGCCUGUCCAUUCUCCUUAUGGGAUACUCACCUCUGCGCUUAACUGAGUGGAGGUAGCAGCCGGGCAACCGGUCGGGUUCCCAUUCUUUUACUUUGAAUAAAUCGUAUUUUGAUCAAAGAAGGCCGGAGUGCCAAUGGUCGAUGCAGCAUGGGAUAAUACAAUAAGCGUCUGUCUUGUUGUGUUGGUUUCUUAAAGAUGGACGAAUGAUUAAGAGGGAUAGUUGGGGGUUUUCGUAUUUAAUUGUCAGAGGUGAAAUUCUUGGAUUUGUUAAAGACGAACUACUGCGAAAGCAUUAACCAAGGAUGUUUUCAUUAAUCAAGAACGAAAGUAGGGGGAUCGAAGACGAUCAGAUACCGUCGUAGUCUCUACCAUAAACGAUGCCGACCAGUUAUUCGGAGACGUUAUUCUUAUGACUCCCCGAGCAGCUUGUGAGAAAUCAGAGUGUUUGGGUUCUGGGGGGAGUAUGGUCGCAAGGCUGAAACUUGAAGAAAUUGACGGAGGGGCACCACCAGGAGUGGAGCCUGCGGCUUAAUUUGACCCAACACGGGGAAGCUUACCAGGUCCAGACAAAGUAAGGAUUGACAGAUUGAGCGCUCUUUCUUGAUUCUUUGGGUGGUGGUGCAUGGCCGUUCUUAGUUGGUGGAGUGAUUUGUCUGGUUAAUUCCGAUAACGAACGAGACCUUAACCUGCUAAAUAGUCACUGGAAGCUACUAUCAAAGCACGUCGCGGAGUAGGGUGAAGUCUCUGAUGGAGCCCGAGGACGCGGCGUGUGGUUGCUUCCAGGAUGUACUUCUUAGAGGGACUUUCUGAAUUCAAGCAGAAGGAAGUUUGAGGCAAUAACAGGUCUGUGAUGCCCUUAGAUGUUCUGGGCCGCACGCGCGCUACACUGAUUACUUCAACGAGUUUACCACCUUGCUCGGAAGAGCUGGGUAACCUUUCUGAAAAGUAAUCGUGCUGAGGUUAGAUCAUUGUAAUUAUUGAUCUCUAAUCAGGAAUUCCUAGUAAGUGCGAGUCAUCAGCUCGCGUUGAUUACGUCCCCGCCCUUUGUACACACCGCCCGUCGCUGCUACUGAUUGGAUGAUCCGGCCAGUUGUUCGGAGCUGGACCGACGCUUUGGGGGCAACUCUGAAGUAAGGUUUGGCAAAGUCCAACCAGCCUUAUUAUCUAGAAGAAGCAGAAGUCGUAACAAGGUAUCUGUAGGUGAACCUGCAGAUG